GGGUGUGUAGCUCAGUUGGCAGAGCAGCUGACUCUUAAUCAGCGGGUCUGGGGUUCGAGCCCCCACUCACCCACCA
rnacentral:tRNA from 9 species